GCCUCGCCAAGCGGCUCCAGAUGGCCGGGGAUGUGGAUCGUGGAUAUCUUAUCCUUUCAUGAAGCUGCUGGAGCUUUGCAACCAGAAGAACAAGUCGCCUGCACGGCACAAGAAUGAGAGUGAAAGGAAUAAGCCAGACUCCCAAUUCCAAUAUCAGCAUUGCUUCGAAUCCUGCUGGGUUAUUGUUGUAGGUAUACAUUUCUUGCCGGUGGUUUGUUAUAUAUAAAGCCUCGUGGCCCCUGAAGUGAUGCAUAUGUGGAUUCCACUACCAAUUUAUCAUAGUGUUUGGUUCCUAAUCAUGCUAUUCUUUUUCCUCUCUUGCUAUUUUGCUCCAACAUUCCUAUAUGUCUAGUUCACUGACCUUUCAUGCUUUUGUUGGAAUAUUUGCAAAGGCAUGGCAAAUGAUGCCUUGUAUAGAGUGGGUUCUACAUGCUGGAUCAAUGGGAAGUAGGCUUGACACUUGCAAUUUUUUUUUUUUUUAAUUGUUUCUCAUUGGUAAAUCACCUCCUUGGUCAAUGUAUCAAUUGUGAAGUCAUUUGCAUAAUGUAUAGCUAGGAUCUGUUAAUACUACAUUAGGCAGAUCCAUUAAAUGCUGAAUUAUAUUAAGUUUGCUUUGCAUGACAAGCAUGAAUUUGCUUUGCCUGCAAGUAUUGGAUGAGCUAAAUCUCCUGUAGUAUCAGAUGAUCUGCCCUUUCCUGCUAUCUUAUUUUCUUUUCUUUUGCACAACGUAUGAUGCCUGCCAUGUACAUAAUGAAUUUCUAACAGAACUGUUUCUACCAGUUAAUGCUUUGGAGAAGAUUAAAAAAAAGUCAUUUCAUUUUAGCCGUGAAGGAAUCCAUACCUGACUGUGCUCCUCAUGCAACAACCAAGCAUAUCAUAUUUGUCAUAACUUUUUUUGGCUAUUGGGACCUAUGGUCCACAAAUGAAUUAUUCUUUGCUUAAGGGUGGGAUGAAGAUGAAAGUGGUGAUGCACCAAACC
rnacentral:lncRNA from 1 species